UACAGAGGGUGCUAGCGUUGUUCGGAAUCAUUGGGCGUAAAGAGCGUGUAGGCGGCCCGGUAAGUCCGCUGUGAAAGUCGGGGGCUCAACCCUCGGAUGCCGGUGGAUACUGUCGGGCUCGAGUACGGAAGAGGCGAGUGGAAUUCCUGGUGUAGCGGUGAAAUGCGCAGAUAUCAGGAGGAACACCUAUUGCGAAGGCAGCUCGCUGGGACGUUACUGACGCUGAGACGCGAAAGCGUGGGGAGCAAACAGG
rnacentral:rRNA from 1 species